rnacentral:lncRNA from 1 species
GGGAUUAUACGUUGGUACUUUGUGGACCCUGCCAGUGGGGGUUGUGCGCUGGUAUUCUGUAGACCCUGCUAGUGGGGGUUGUGCACUGGUAUUUCUGGACCCUGCCAGUGGAGGUUGUGCGCUGGUAUUCUGUGGACCCCGCCAAUGGGGGUUAAACGUUGGUCAUAGUCGAGGCUGUUGAGUUACGAGUGUUUUGAAUCGAAUCGGAUUUAUGAUUAUAUUAUGUGUGAAUUUUUGACAAUAUUGGAUUUGCAUUAAAUCAGCAUGAAAUAUAUUUUUAUUUGUAGCAUUCUUCUUGAAAAUUAUAUAAUAUCUGAAUAUCUGGUAGAAAUAUUUGUUACUUACUGGGCUGUCUAGCUCAUUACAUUUCUUUCUAUUUUUCAGAUUCAGAUAACUAAUUUCGAGCAUGGGAAGAAAUAUUGGGACAGAGCUUUUAGAGGCGAGAUUAGCAUUGUUCAACUUCAAUGAACUUAGAUCUAUUAUUUUAUUGUUAGCAAAAAUUUUAUUGGAUGUAAGACAUUUGAUUUAAUUACUUAAAUUACAGUUGAAUAAUAAUUAUUUGAAUUUAUUCCGCUGCGAUGCAUUGAUAUCGUGAUGAGAUGCCUUGCAUGCUUAUGGA